rnacentral:pre_miRNA from 1 species
AAUGGGAUAACUGGGUCAAAUGGUGGUUCCAUUCCUAGCUUUUUUGCAAUCUCCAUACUGCUUUCCAAAGCUGCUGCACCAAUUUGCAGUCCCACCAGCAAU